rnacentral:rRNA from 1 species
GCAGUCGAGCGGUAGCACAGAGAGCUUGCUCUCGGGUGACGAGCGGCGGACGGGUGAGUAAUGUCUGGGAAACUGCCUGAUGGAGGGGGAUAACUACUGGAAACGGUAGCUAAUACCGCAUAACGUCGCAAGACCAAAGUGGGGGACCUUCGGGCCUCAUGCCAUCAGAUGUGCCCAGAUGGGAUUAGCUGGUAGGUGGGGUAACGGCUCACCUAGGCGACGAUCCCUAGCUGGUCUGAGAGGAUGACCAGCCACACUGGAACUGAGACACGGUCCAGACUCCUACGGG